GCGAAUGCAGCCUGACGACUCCGUUCGGGUUCAGGGAGGUUGUUUCGGCUUCUGGAGUAUGCCUGUCGACUUGCAAGAGGGACUCGCAUACGUCUGGUGCCAAUCCUUCUGCAUUCCCGUCUUGGAGUCGACCAACGAAGGCGGCUGUUGUCUAGAGGUAAGGCUGGAGGGUAGGUGCCUCAUGCGGCCCCCGGGGUCGUCGGAGAACUUAUUACAGCCUCUGGUCGUUUUUGGGUGGCGGUCGCCGAGGGGAAGUGCGACUUUCGCACAAGUCAGUGCAGGCUCCGCCGGGGCCGGGUCGCUUCUGCCGGUGCGGGUGGUGCAGCGAGGGACUGCACGCAGUGUCCGCUGACUCCUUUCCCGUUCGGGCGGGAGGUGGGCCAGCGACGUGCACUGUAGUC
rnacentral:rRNA from 1 species